UUUGUGUCUCGGCAGAGGCGGGGAGGGCCCCUGGUCCCAGCAGCAUUCUUCUGCAGGGAGGAAGGCCUUCCUUCCUUGUUCUGGGGAACCGUGAGCACCGUACUCCGUGGUUGGAGAAUAAUUGCACUUGGUGCCACGUUUCCGGGUAUUUGCAAGGGGAUUGAAAAAUGCAAUGAUUUUAAGGUGCAACGAUUUCAAGGUGAAGUUCAAUUUUUGCAUCUACCGCCUCAGCCGCUGCACUAGGU
rnacentral:lncRNA from 1 species